rnacentral:tRNA from 1 species
AUUUAUUUAGUUUAAAAUUAAAACACUUCAUUUUCAAUGAAGAGACGAGCCUUCUAACUCUUUAAAUA